rnacentral:rRNA from 1 species
UGGGGAAUAUUGGACAAUGGGCGAAAGCCUGAUCCAGCAAUGCCGCGUGUGUGAAGAAGGCCUUAGGGUUGUAAAGCACUUUAGGCCGGGAGGAAGUGUUGUAGUUUAAGAGAUAAUAACAUUGACUGUACCGGCAGAAUAAGCACCGGCUAACUCUGUGCCAGCAGCCGCGGUAAUACAGAGGGUGCGAGCGUUAAUCGGAGUUACUGGGCGUAAAGGGCGCGUAGGCGGUUAUUUAAGUGAGAUGUGAAAUCCCUGGGCUUAACCUAGGAACUGCAUCUCAUACUGGAUAGCUAGAGUAUUGUAGAGGGUAGUGGAAUUUCCGGUGUAGCGGUGAAAUGCGUAGAGAUCGGAAGGAACACCAGUGGCGAAGGCGGCUACCUGGACAAAUACUGACGCUGAGGCGCGAAAGCGUGGGGAGCAAACA